UACGGAAGGCAGCAGUGGGGAAUAUUGCACAAUGGGCGCAAGCCUGAUGCAGCCAUGCCGCGUGUAUGAAAAAGGCCUUCGGGUUGUAAAGUACUUUCAGUCGUGAGGAAGGUGUUAAGGUUAAUAACCUUAGCAAUUGACGUUAGCGACAGAAGAAGCACCGGCUAACUCCGUGCCAGCAGCCGCGGUAAUACGGAGGGUGCGAGCGUUAAUCGGAAUUACUGGGCGUAAAGGGCACGCAGGCGGUUAAUUAAGUUGGAUGUGAAAUCCCCGGGCUUAACCUGGGAAUGGCAUUCAAGACUGGUUAGCUAGAGUCUUGUAGAGGGGGUAGAAUUCCAUGUGUAGCGGUGAAAUGCGUAGAGAUGUGGAGGAAUACCGGUGGCGAAGGCGGCCCCUGGACAAAGGCUGACGCUCAUGUGCGAAAGCGUGGGGAGCAAACGAGGGAUUAGAUACC
rnacentral:rRNA from 1 species